GGUGCUAUUUCAACCGGUAUAAUACUAAUCCAAUUCAAUGACUUGGUAAAGUCAGUGGGAGGAUUAUGGUUUACUGGUUGAUCUUUUCUUUUCUUUUAAUUUAUAAAUUAAAUUUUUUAAAUUAUUAGAUUUCUAAAAUGAGAUAGUUAUGGUGAUAACUAAAUCAUAGCCUCCCAUUAAGUUGAGUGAUAAUAGGUCCAUUCGUAUGAUGAUCAUUGGAGGCCCAAAGGCCUGGUUCUC
rnacentral:lncRNA from 1 species